AUACGGAGGGUGCAAGCGUUGUUCGGAAUUACUGGGCGUAAAGCGCGCGUAGGUGGUCUGUUAUGUCAGAUGUGAAAGUCCACGGCUCAACCGUGGAAGUGCAUUUGAAACUGGCGGACUUGAGUACUGGAGGGGGUAGUGGAAUUCCCGGUGUAGAGGUGAAAUUCGUAGAUAUCGGGAGGAAUACCGGUGGCGAAGGCGACUACCUGGCCAGAUACUGACACUGAGGUGCGAAAGCGUGGGGAGCGAACAGGAUUAGAUACCCGAGUAGUCC
rnacentral:rRNA from 1 species